UGGUCAGGUAGAGAAUACCAAGGCGCUUGAGAGAACUCGGGUGAAGGAACUAGGCAAAAUGGUGCCGUAACUUCGGGAGAAGGCACGCUGGUGUGUAGGUGAAGCCCCUGCGGGUGGAGCUGAGACCAGUCGAAGAUACCAGCUGGCUGCAACUGUUUAUUAAAAACACAGCACUGUGCAAACACGAAAGUGGACGUAUACGGUGUGACGCCUGCCCG
rnacentral:rRNA from 1 species